rnacentral:rRNA from 1 species
ACGUAGGGUGCGAGCGUUAAUCGGAAUUACUGGGCGUAAAGCGUGCGCAGGCGGUUUUGUAAGCCAGAUGUGAAAUCCCCGGGCUUAACCUGGGAAUGGCAUUUGGGACUGCAAGGCUUGAGUGCGGCAGAGGAGACUGGAAUUCCUGGUGUAGCAGUGAAAUGCGUAGAGAUCGGGAGGAACAUCAGUUGCGAAGGCGGCUCUCUGGACCAGCACUGACACUGAGGCACGAAAGCGUGGGGAGCAAACAGGA